UCAAACCGUCCAAUAUAAAAAGGGCGGUUGUGGACUCUCUCCCUCCAACGACUUUGCCAGACUCUCCCAUCCAAAGCUGCAAAUGGGUGUAAAGAACACUCUCAUAGCCUUCCUUGUUCCCAUCCCUUCCAUAGCUUUCUACCUCACCUUCCUUCAAGAAUCCCAGCACCCAUCUUCAUCUCAUGCACAUCUGGAGCACCUCUGGAAAUGGUGCUCCCAUCACCCUAUCUUUCUUGCAAACCUCCUCUUCUUCUUCAACAUCGACAUCCUCUUCUGGGCUAUCAGCCUCAUCCAAUCCAGCAAUUGGAUGAUAGAUUUGUAUUGGACUGUGAUACCUGUGAUGCUUGUUCACUACUAUGCAAGCCACCCUUAUGCAAAAUCAGAUGCCCUGAGAUCAACGGCCGUGAUUUUGAUGACUUGGGUGUGGAGCAUAAGGCUCACUCAUAACUAUUUGAGGAGGGAGAGGUGGGAGUUGGGUGUUAGGGAGGAUUGGAGGUUCAGUGAAAUGAGGAAGGAAUAUGGGAAGAAUUGGUGGUGGGUUUCGUUUUUUGCUGCUUACGUCGUACAGCAGGUAUUUCUGGUAGGCAUAUGCCUCCCCAUGUAUGCUAUUCACUCAAGUGAAAAACCAUGGAACGCAUGGGACACAAUUGCAACAUUCAUCUGUGCGAGUGGAAUUGUGAUUGCAUACAUUGCAGAUACACAACUCUUUAAGUUUUCACAAAGAAAUAGCACAUUACAAGAGCUCGGCAUGCCUAUGGUGCCCAACCUCGACAAGGGCUUAUGGCGGUAUUCUCGCCAUCCAAACUACUUUGGGGAGCAGCUGUGGUGGUGGGGAUUGGUUAUCUUUGGAUGGAACGUUGGGCACGGAUGGAUGUUCUCUGGGUCACUUAUUAAUAGCCUGUGCUUGGCAUAUGUGACAAUGCUUGUGGAGCAGCGGAUGUUAAAACAAGAGAACAGAGCCGAAGCAUACAAGCAAUACCAGAAGACAACAUCGGUGUGGGUACCUUGGUUUAAGUCGAGCCCAAGAGUCACAAAAGAUAAGAGUAGUUGAGAUGUUUUCAAUCCUUCAGUCGCCUCAUCACUUGUUAAUAACAUCGGAGCCCAUGCUGUCACCCAAUGGCAUGGGCCUGUAAGUUGGGAAACUGUACUACAGACUCUUGUUUCAAUUUAAUAAACUCCUUACAUCUGCAUUGCUUCUGUCUAACAUUAAACUUAGUAAUACUAUUCAAGGUUUGUUACUUUUGAAAUUUUGGGACCUCCUACAAACCAUAAGCAGGUCAAAUGUCUAUAAGUAGAGGCCUAAGAAGUGAUUUGGACAAGGCCUUUCAAUUUGUAGCAUGCAUGUGAAGCAGGCGAUGGAAUUGGAAGUGUUUGUUAUCAGCUGGAGUAGACCUAUGGCUGGGAUGUUCCUCUGUAGGUGGAGUGGCAAUAUAGGAUUGUAGAUAUAUUUGAUAUUAGCUGUAGCCUUGUUGAAUUAUAUUACAUGUAUACAACUGUUAGUCAAAACGUAAUUUUACAGGUAAUCUUUACCAUGGUGGGUUGUACAUGCACCAACAUGCAGUUGAUCCACUGUGUUUGUUGUUAAGGGAUAAUGACCCUUUUCUGGAACUAUUUACAGUCUGUAAGGACUUUAUGAAGUUGAGGACAUGUGUAAUUUGAUGAUGGACGUUUUAUUCCAAUUAAUAUUGGAUAUGAAAUUGCGAUUAUAUCAUGUA